UAACAAGGGAUAUAUUUAUUAACCUUAUUUAUUGCUACCUCUUUGUCAAUUUAGGUAUUUGGAAAAUGGACUGUAUGGUCAAGUUUAUGAGCAAAUGGGCUAUUAUGCUGAUCCUAUUUUGAGAUUGUUUCUUUCCCCCAAGCAGAAGAGAGAUGGCAUGUAGGAUUUACUUUGAUGGAAUGAAAUGACAGAAUAGAAGAGCUUCCAUUUACAAAUAUGAGCCAUGGAAACUUUAUCAACUGUUAUGGUUUUUUGUUUUAAGGUCAAUUUGGAUCCUCUUACUUUUAAAGGGAGGAAACUUAAUUUGGAUUGAACUCUGGUUUUGCUCAAAUUUAGG